rnacentral:rRNA from 1 species
CAGUAGCCACGGUAACACGAAGGGGGCUAGCGUUGUUCGGAUUUACUGGGCGUAAAGCGCACGUAGGCGGACUUUUAAGUCAGGGGUGAAAUCCCGGGGCUCAACCCCGGAACUGCCUUUGAUACUGGGAGUCUUGAGUUCGAGAGAGGUGAGUGGAAUUGCGAGUGUAGAGGUGAAAUUCGUAGAUAUUCGCAGGAACACCAGUGGCGAAGGCGGCUCACUGGCUCGAUACUGACGCUGAGGUGCGAAAGCGUGGGGAGCAAACAGGAUUAGAUACCCGUGUAGUCCCUGUCUCUUAUAA